UGUUGGCUUUCUUUCCAGAAUCAAAGAGUUAUUAAACUUAACUCUAUCAGCUGGUGCCGUGACCCGGAUCCCAACAUAUCGACUCGCUGACGACAGGAGCAACACGCUGUAAACCACUGCAGGUCUGUGGCAAGGACCUGGUGAAAGUCCCGGGAGGUAAUUUCCUCGCUGGGACCAGCGUCUCCUUUCGGCAACGAGAAGAUUGACGGGAUUCCGACCGGGGAGAAAGCCAAACAAAUCAAGAUCCACAAACAGUGAGACCAGGAGACUGGGUGUUCGUCAAAGUCAUCAGAAGGAAAAACUGAGCAAGCCCAAGGAUGGAAGGACCAUACCAAGUGCUCCUGACCAUGCCAACAGCUGUGAAGAUUGCUGAAAGACCAUCCUAAAUUCACCCCAGCCACUGUAAGUUACAGAGAGCGUUAAGUGCCUUAAGGUUGGAACUGUGGUGAAGUCCGACUUCAAAGGGGUUUGGUUUUUUAGGGCCACUCGUCUCAACGUCGGUGAAGAAAUCAACUGAUCCCUGUUCUUUAGAGUCCUGGGUAAAAUUAACAUCUCUGUUAACCUAGCAAAAAUGGGGUUUUCCAUGCAGC